UUUAACACAACGUCCCAACUUCAUUGAAAUUGGGGUUGUAGUGCUCGCACUUUUACUACGAAAUCACAGAGUUGUAAUACGUGCAAUAUGUGGCUUGGCAUUGUCUUGCUAAAACAUGCAGGAACAUCCCUGAAAAAGACGUUGCUUGGAUGGCAGCAUAUGUUGUUUCAAAACCUGUAUGUACCUUUCAUCAUUAAUGGUGCCUUCACAGAUGUCCAAAUUACCCACUACCACCAUACCAAACCAUACCAUCACAAAUGCUGUCUUUUGGACUUUGUGUUGAUAAUAACCCAAAUAGUGCUUUUCUUUUUUGGCCCGGAGGACACAACAUCCAUGAUUUCACAAAACAAUUUGAAAUGUGGACUCGUCAGACCACAGCACACUUUUCCACUUUCCGUCUCAGAUGAGCUAGGGCCCAAAAAAGCCAGCAGUGAUUCUGGGUGCUGUUGAUAUAGGCUUUUGCUUUGCAUGGUAGAGUUUUAACUUGCAUUUGUAGAUGUAGUGACGAACCGUGUUCACUUGCAAUGGUUUUCUGAAAGUGUUCCUGAGCCCACGUGGCAAUAUCCUUUACACAAUGAUGCCGGUUUUUAAUGCAGUGCUGCCUGAGGGAUUGAAGGUCAAGGCAUUCAACGUUGGUUUUCUGACGCUUAAGUGCAGCGAUUUCUCUAGAUUCUCUGAAUCUUUUUAUAUGAUGGACCAUAGAUGAUGAAAUCCCUAAAUUCCUUGCAAUUGUAUCUUGAAAAACUGUUGGGACUAUUUGCUCACGCACUUAUUCACAAAGUGGUGAACCUUGCCCCGUUCUUGCUUGUGAACAACUUAGUCUUUCUGGGAUGCUUCUUUUAUACCCAAUUAUGACACUCACUUGUUUCCAAUUAACCUGUUUGGAAUGUUCCAAACAUGUUUUUUAAGCAUUCCAUAACGUUCCUCGUCUUUUGUUGCUCGUGUCCCAGCUUUUUGGAAUGAUACAAUAUUCCCAAACCAACCCCCCCAAAAAAUAACGUUCAUCAGUUUGAACGUUAACUCAUUCCCUGCCAAUGUCGUCCAAAGACGUCAUUCAGAAUCUAUCUAUUCCCUGCCAAUGCCGUCUAAAGACGUUAAUGCCGUUUUUUAACAGGGGAUGGGUGGGUGGGUGGGGGAGGGUCUUGUGCAGUUCAUGUGUGAUCGUCAAGCCUCUGGAUAACUGCAAUGUGGAAUGGCACCAUGUAGAGGGCAACAAUGCCUUGAGGUGAACGUCCCUUCCUCAGAUUGAAGAAGAGGAAGAAGAAGGAGGAGGGGGCGGGCCGGCCGGCGGGAUGCAACAGAAAAGGAGAAGAGACAAACAUAAUGGCGGAAAAGAGAGAAGACAAAAUGAAAAAUAUCCCCAAAAAAUUAAUAAUAACAAUAACCUUUCGGUACUAGAAAUUUAUUGCACCAAAGCAAGAAAAAUAUUCCUGCGACCGACAGGAAUGACGCCUUAGAUCAUGCAGGGGAAUGAAGGAUGACGCUCCGAGCCGAUCGCUUUGCUAAGUGAUCGCGCAAAAUGCCAUCCCAUACAUAUGGUGAGAUGCUCACGGCCGCUUGCCAGCUGAUCUUCUGCCGAUCAGGAUUUGAGUAAAUGGGAUGCGGAAUCGUGAUGAGUGAACUCCAUCUGGAUAACCAGCCGAGCUUCAUCCCGAGCUUCCUCCGACAAAAUUUACUCGUUUGCAGGUUGCGUUAGCGACAUUUAGCGAGCAAACACGCGCCUUCAAUCCUUGUUACAUGAAAACAAUUUAGUCCCACUCGUUCACUUUACAAUGUAAGAUCUGUUACCAGUACUGAUUUGAAUUUUCCAUUUUGUCCAUCUUGCAGGAAUUCAACACCCGCGAGUCAAACGUCUUUCAGGAUUGCGAUGAAGAGAAGUUAUACAGCCAGCAGACGUUCGACUCCCAUUCCAGUACGUAGUGCAGUCAGAAAAGGUUGUCACUACUUAUGCUUCAAGCAUAAGUAGUGACUGGUUUCAAGGAGAACGACAACCACACAAGAUCCCAUUCACUGCCAACAGAAAAAUAAAAUCUAGAUGUGGAUAAAACUUUGCUAGAUUUUAUGCGCAAGGUAAUAAAUACCUGGACGAUUGAGCAAACGGUAGAGGAGGAGAAUUUGGAGGAAAAAAGGUGCAAGUGUGGGAGGACAAUUUGUUCAUGCAUUUUUGUCUAAUGUAAAUUCUGUACAUCAUUAUACUUGUAAAUAAAUUAUUUUUCUGGCAUAAGUAAUUGUCAGUCAUUGUUCUGCUUGACACAUCAAGACACAUCAAGCAGAACAAUGACUGACACCAAUAUUUUGUUUUCUUUUGUGAGAAUGUCAAACAUCUGAAAAUAAAACAACACUACAAAAAGGCUGUUUUCUCCGUUUUUUUUCUUCCAGAAACAGAUUUGGCUGAA